rnacentral:lncRNA from 1 species
UUGUAAAUAGCAUGAUUUUAGUAGGUUAACAACAUGUUUUUUAUGUUUAAGAUUCAUGUUGAAAAUCAUGUGUUAUUCAGAAAAAAAAAAUUUGGUCACUGCCUUCAGACAAUCGAUUGUUGCCUUACACAAUCGAUUGUCUAUGACUUUUAGUAUUCUGGCAGUUUUUUUGGAACACCUGACAAUCGAUUGUCAGGUU